GGGAAACUGAAUAAAAAUCGCAAUUAAAAAGAGUAUUUUGUGCAUUCUAAAACAAAUCUGGAGUGACAAUAAUGACAGGCAAGAAUUGCAAUGACUGAGGAGAGACAAGAACCGUAGGCAAAUUUUAACCCGCAUUGCAAAAUUAAAAAUUAAAAAAAAAAUAAAUUAAAAAUGUUUGCCUUAGUUUGUAAAGUAUUCUUUGGCAAUUUGCAAUACGAAAAAGUUAAUGCACAAGACCUAGAGCACAAGGUAAAAUAUCUUCAAUCAUCCUUGUCUUCAAAAGACAAACAUACUGCAAUUGCAAACACAAAAUUCAGUAAUUAAGGAUAAUCUGAAAACUAAUGACUUGCUUUUAGAAUAUCACAAUUGACAAUUUGAUACCAUAAACAUAAGAUUUAAAAAAAUAUAUAUUAUUGCCAUGCUAUUUUCUGACCCCAUAAAGAAUAGAUGUCAUGAUUCAUGCAAUCUAUCUUGCUAUUUUCUACACCCUAUUAAAAUGCUGCAAUGGGCUAAGAUAAUGGUGCAAAAACUGCAGGAUUAACACAUGAUGGAAAAUUCUUAUAUUUUCAAUUUACUGUUUUGGAGUUCUCUACAUUGUCUAAACAAUGAGAAAGAUAGCAGGAAAACUUAGAUUUGAUGCACAUAAGAUAAAGUAUUACUAGGUAGUAAAACUUAGUGAGAACCAACAUAGAUUGACACCAUGCCAAGAUUACAGCGCUCUGAUUAAUACAACUCUUCUUUUGACAAUGAAAAAUAAUUGAAUAUUCUUAAAUCAAGAGUUUCAUAAUCAAUCAUCAUUGAAAUUGUAUUAAGCCGCAAACAUCAAUGAGAAGCAGAAAACACAAAGCAUAUUGAUAAACUUGAAUAAAGAUUUCAAGCCACAGACAGACAAAACUUAAAGAGAAGAUAACCCAAUUCCAACAAAAUAGCCCCUACAUAAAAACCAAGCACAUGCAAAUCAAACUCGUAGAUUCAAAUUUAACAUCUAAUGGAAAUGACAAAAAGGGAAUAUAACAGCAAAAGUAGCAACAAAAGAGCACCAAAGUAAAUAGAAAUCACUGAUGUAGAAUAAGCAAACAGCCUGAGUUACAAUAGUUGCAAUCACAGCUAACUCAAAACCAGUCAAUAUAGAUCCACAACCCUCUAGAAAACACACGAAAAUAAAGAGAUAUAGAAAUGUGUAACAAUAAGGUUAAGCAAAAACACUUCUCAACAGACAAGGUUUUAAUUUGGGAAAGACAACAUUAGUCUUAAAGUUGUAACUCAACCCAUGAAUUAUUGACAGAGAGAAAGAAAUGGGGGGAUGCAGCCACUGGGAGAAUGUCAUCAGUUAAUAUAGCUGGAUAGAGGACCAAAUCGAUUCCAUAAAAUGAAAAACAGAGUCAAUGACAAAAUCAUACCAGACACUUGGAGAUCAAAACACAGGGUGAAAGGUAACACUAGCAAGCAAGGGCAUCAUUUGUUUGCCGAAGAAGCUAUCAUCCUGUGGCAACCACGUGAUCUCACCAUUAUAUGGAAUUGUUAAUGUUCAAAACGCCUUCCCUGUGGAGGAACCAUAAAUGCAAUAGGUAUAUGCAAGUUUCCUCAUAAAACAAAGCAGUGGUCUUGAUUUUGUCAGUACCACUUGUUGUAAGUAUUAAAAGAUACAUGUCUUUGGACUGCAUCCCUUUUCAAUAACUCUUACAUCACAGAAAAGCCACAACAAGAAGACACCCACCUAUAUGUAGCUAUUGUUCUUGAAAUUUGCAUGAGAAAUAUAAUUACUGAGUAGGUGAAGGUAAAUAUCUAUUCAAUAAUCAAUAAUUGAAACUACUUCAAGAUGAGUCCCAAGUUCAUGUGGUGCAAAGAAAUUUUGUCAGGGAAUAAAAGGAGAAACUUAAAGAGAUUGCAUCAAACAUAACUUAUUUGAAUUCUGGAUAUUUGGAUGUAUAAUCAAAUAUGUUUUUAUCUAAAAUAAUAGACCAAAUGCAUCUCUAGGUUCUUGUACUAUCAUCCAAUGUACAAUUUGACCCCUCAUGAUUUAUGGAUCUAACACAAAGGCAUACCCCUACUGUCUUGCCAACACUGUUUAUAAAUUUAAUUUAAAGAAAAUAAUAAUAAAAUUAGCUCAAUAAUUUCAUAUAAACAUUUCACUAGUAUUAUUUAAAAUUUUGAAUUUUAACAUAAUAUAAUAGAUCUUCGUUAUAUAAUCUUCCACUCUUAUCAUGGUUUACAUGCUUUUGCCCCCAUUGUGUUCUUAAAAUUUGCAUGCAAAAUGUAAUCAUGAUUAGGCGAAGGUAAUUUUAUAUUCAACCAACUGAUAAUGUAAACUGAUCCAUUAGGAGUCCUAAGUUCACGUAGUACAAACAAAGAUUUGAUAGCGAAUAAAUGGAGAAAGUUGAAGAAUUUGCUUCC
rnacentral:misc_RNA from 1 species